UAAAGGUCCUCAGUCUGAAGGUGCCAAGUUUCUACCACUUCAGUAUCUGGUGCCCUAAUUAGGAACAGAGGAUUCGAGAGAAAGCCUUGGACCCUGAGUCUGAUACAUAGUUCCAGACCACUGUCAUUCCAGGUGUCAUGCUAAGGAUCUCAAACUCUCAUCUCCCUUCUUCAUUCACAUCAUAGCAGCCUCAGUGACCAAGUUUUCUUAUGGAAGGUCUGAAUCCAGUUAUUCAGCAAAAAGCAGCAUGAGAUCACCUUCUAACAUCUCUCCAGCUCCUUUGGGGUAGGUGAAAAGGGCUUUUCGUGGUGGGGCAAGGUCUGAGACACUGAAACCCGAUGCAGUAACAGAACUUCCACUGACCCCACCAGCUGAAGAGGAGGAUGAAGAGGCUGCCAUUUCUUCUAGAGGAAUUCUCACUUCACUGAAGAGAAAGAAAAACAGGAAUUGGCAAGUUUAUAGAUGUAAGACUGACAACAUUUCACUCUAGCUGCUAUAAGGGCCAGCAUAUCAUUUUAUAAAAAAUUAGCUCUCCUUUUUUUCUCAAGUCUCUACUUCCAACAAUCUUUUAUUGAAACCUCAGGUCAAAAUGUCAUGCAGGUUUUGAAAUGAAAAUAUGCUUAACAAUAGUUUGUCUACUAAAAAAAUUACUUCCUACCAUUAGCAAACUGUUUAUGUCAUUUGAGAUGGACUGUAGGUGAUUUAUAAAUUAUAAAUUAUGGCAGUGCCAAGGCAAAAAUGCGAUUGAGGACAUAAAAUAUGAGGUUAAAACAAUUAUCUUCCAUAGGACAGUUUGUCUUGGAUUCAUCCUGACCAAGCCACACCAAGAAGUUCACUCAUAAAAUUUUCCAAAUAAGAUUCCAGAAUAACACUGUGUUCUGUUCCCAGGGAAGGGAA